rnacentral:lncRNA from 1 species
AAAGAAAGCAAACCUCAGGACUCUGUGCACGUGCUUUUAUCCAUUCUGGUGUGUUAUGUCACUAACUGGGAUCAAUACAGGAAAGGAUCAGCCAAGUUCACACCAGAUAAUGUAGACCCUUACUUGUGUACCCAUCUGAUCUUUGCUUUUGCUGGCAUACAAAAUAACCAAAUUACUACUACAGAAUGGAAUGAUGAAUUACUUUACAGGCAGCUCAAUGCCUUAAAGAAGAAAAAUAACAUGCUGCUCACAUUGCUGGCUGUUGGAGGAGGCACCUUUGAUAAUGAGAAGUUCAUCACCAUUGUAUCCUCUCCAACAAAUCGCCAGAUAUUCAUCACAUCAGUGAUAAACUUACUCCGAACAUAUGGUUUCGAUGGUUUGGAUCUUGACUGGGAAUAUCCUGGUUCCAAAGGGAGCCCCCCAGAGGAUAAACAUCGCUUCACUGUUUUGACUCAGGAAAUCUCAGCUGCUUUUAGGAAGGAAAGUGAAGCAACAGGAUGCCCACGACUAUUGCUUUCUGCAGCAGUGGCUUCCAACAAAUAUACCAUUGAUGCUGGAUAUGAAAUUGCAGCCCUUGGGAAGAGUUUGGAUUUUAUUAAUGUGAUGACAUAUGACUUCCAUGGAAGUUGGGCACCUGUAACAGGACACAACAGCCCUCUCUAUAAGGGCUCACAUGACUAUGAUCCAGUUCCUUUCUACAACUGCGAAUAUGCCAUGAAAUACUGGAAAGACAACGGAGCCCCUCCUGAGAAACUCAUGAUGGGAUUUCCAACAUAUGGACGAUCCUUCAAACUUUCUGGUACAGAUACUGGAGUUGGUGCUUCAGCCUCUGGUGGAGGCUCUCCUGGAGCCUAUACCAGGCAGUCUGGUAUCUUGGCAUAUUAUGAGGUCUGUGAUUUUUUAAAUGGAGCUACCAAGGCAUGGAUUGAAGAGCAGAAAGUUCCUUAUGCUUUCAAAGAUGGUGAAUGGGUUGGAUAUGACAAUGAAAGGAGUUUUCAGUUAAAAGCUGAGUUCUUGAAGAGAGAACAAUAUGGAGGAGCUGUGGUUUGGACUCUUGGCAUGGAUGAUUUCUCUGGCACCUUCUGUGGUCAAGGACCCAAUGUCCUUGUUAAUAAACUAAAAGACACCUUCAAAAACUGA